rfam:Picea glauca, whole genome shotgun sequence.
ACCCAAUAAUGAAAGUAAACCCGUAGAUAGGAAGUGUCGUAUGACACUUAAGUGCAGUUAAUCC